rnacentral:rRNA from 1 species
CCUACGGGAGGCAGCAGUGGGGAAUAUUGGGCAAUGGGCGCAAGCCUGACCCAGCAACGCCGCGUGAAGGAAGAAGGCUUUCGGGUUGUAAACUUCUGUUCUCAGGGACGAAGCAAGUGACGGUACCUGAGCAAUAAGCCACGGCUAACUACGUGCCAGCAGCCGCGGUACUACGUAGGUGGCAAGCGUUAUCCGGAUGUACGGGGGGUAAAGGGCGUGUAGGCGGGACAGCAAGUCAGAUGUGAAAACCAUGGGCUCAACCUGUGGCCUGCAUUGGAAACUGUGUGUCUGUAGUACUGAAGAGGCGGUCGGAAUUCCUAGUGUAGCAGUGAAAUGCGUAGAUAUUAGGAGGAACACCAGUGGCGAAGGCGGUCUGCUGGACAGCAACUGACGCUGAGGCGCGAAAGCGUGGGGAGCAAACAGGAUUAGAUACCCGGGUAGUC